AUUGAACGCUGGCGGCAUGCCUUACACAUGCAAGUCGAACGGCAGCACGGGAGCAAUCCUGGUGGCGAGUGGCGAACGGGUGAGUAAUAUAUCGGAACGUGCCCAGUCGUGGGGAUAACGUAGCGAAAGCUACGCUAAUACCGCAUACGAUCUAUGGAUGAAAGCGGGGGAUCGCAAGACCUCGCGCGAUUGGAGCGGCCGAUAUCAGAUUAGGUAGUUGGUGAGGUAAAGGCUCACCAAGCCGACGAGUCUGUAGCUGGUCUGAGA
rnacentral:rRNA from 1 species